rnacentral:rRNA from 1 species
GGGGGAUAAAUUAAUAAAUAAAUAAUUAAUAAAAAAAUUUUUAAAUAAAAUAUUUAAUGGGGGUUAAAGUAUUUAUAAAAAAAAAAUUGAUUAAUUUAUAGUAAAUUAGUAUUGUAAAAGAAUUUUGAAAUAUAUGAAAAAUAAAUUAUUAAUAAGUAAUUUUAGUUUAAUGUAUCUUGUGUAUCAGAGUUUAUUUAAAAUUAUUUAUAAAAAAAAAAAAUUCUCGAAUUUAAAAGAGAUAAUUAAUUAAAAAAGUUAUUGUUGCAUAAAUAUUUUAAAUAAUUAAUUGGAAAUGAAAUGUUAAUCGUUUUUAAAUAUAUCUAGUUUUUUUAGAAAAAAAUUUAAUUUUAAAAUAAUUUUUAAAAGUAUUAAUUAAUUUAAUACUUUUAAAAAUUAUUUUUAUAUUUUAAGGGAUAAGCUUUAAAAUAAAUUUAAUAUAAUAUUUAAAUUAAAAUUUUAUUGAAAAUUAUAUAAUUUAUAUUGUUAAAAAAAUUUAAUUUGUUAAAAAUAAUUUCAUUUAAAAUAAAAUUUAAUUUAAAUUUAUUUUUAUUUAUAAAAAAAAAUUUUUUAUUAAAAAAAAAAUUAUAAUAAUGAUAAAAUUAGUAUAUAAAAAAUAAUUUAGGAAAAUAUUUUAUUUAAAUUAGUUAAAAGGAAUUCGGCAAAAAUUUAUAUUCACUUGUUUAUCAAAAACAUGUCUUUUUGAAAAUAAUAUAAAGUCUAAUCUGCCCACUGAUUUUAAAUUAAAGGGCUGCAGUAUUUUGACUGUACAAAGGUAGCAUAAUCAUUAGUCAUUUAAUUGAUGACUUGUAUGAAAGAUUGGAUGAAAUAUGAUCUGUCUCUUAAUUAAAUUAUAAAAUUUAAUUUUUUAUUUAAAAAGAUAAAAUAAAUUAAAAAGACGAGAAGACCCUAUAGAGUUUAAUAAUUAUUUUAUUUAAAAUUAUUUAUAAAUAAAAAAAAAAUUUAAUUAAAUUAAUUAUUUUGUUGGGGUGACAGAAAAAUUAAAUAAACUUUUUUUUUAGAAGAACAAAUAUAAUUGAAUAUAUGAUCCAGUUUUAUUGAUUAUAAGAAAAAAUUACCUUAGGGAUAACAGCGUAAUUUUUUUUUUUAGUUCAAAUAAAAAAAAGAGUUUGCGACCUCGAUGUUGGAUUAAGAUAAAAUUUAAAUGCAGAAGUUUAAAGUUUUUGAUCUGUUCGAUCAUUAAAAUCUUACAUGAUCUGAGUUCAAACCGGUGUAAGCCAGGUUGGUUUCUAUCUUUUAAAAAAUAAAAUAUUUUAGUACGAAAGGAUUAAAUAUUUAAAUUAAAUUUAAUUAUAUGAAUUUUAAUAAAAAUUAAAUAAAUAAGUUUA